rnacentral:rRNA from 1 species
CCUACGGGUGACAGCAGUGGGGAAUAUUGCACAAUGGGGGAAACCCUGAUGCAGCGACGCCGCGUGAAGGAAGAAGUAUUUCGGUAUGUAAACUUCUAUCAGCAGGGAAGAAAAUGACGGUACCUGAGUAAGAAGCCCCGGCUAACUACGUGCCAGCAGCCGCGGUAAUACGUAGGGGGCAAGCGUUAUCCGGAUUUACUGGGUGUAAAGGGAGCGUAGACGGCAGUGCAAGUCUGGAGUGAAAGGCGGGGGCUCAACCCCCGGACUGCUCUGGAAACUGUACGGCUGGAGUGCAGGAGAGGUAAGUGGAAUUCCUGGUGUAGCGGUGAAAUGCGUAGAUAUUAGGAGGAACACCAGUGGCGAAGGCGGCUUACUGGACUGUAACUGACGUUGAGGCUCGAAAGCGUGGGGAGCAAACAGGAUUAGAUACCCUUGUAGUC